CUUAAAAUUGCCAGCGGCCUCUAGAAAAGAGGCUGAACUGCCUCAUGGCCCCUGCCCUGCUGUGGUUCCUGUUGGGAAGACUGCAGAUUCCUGGGUGGAGCCACAUCCUGUGGGAGUGCAGGGAGACAUCCCCAGCUGGCAGGCUCCGCGUCCUGGAGCGUGACUGGGUGUGUGUGUCCCUGACUGUGCAUCAUUUCAGGGUGGGGCUGUCUUGAACACAGCCAUUUGGUUUCUGUCACAUGAGCCCGAAACACAUGAGCAAAGACUCUUUGAAAACACAUUGUUCGUCAAUGAUUUUAAAAUACUUUUCCCUAAAACAUGAAGUAGCUUUUUCUAGUAAUUUUCAUGUACAUACUUGGGAAAUCUCCCCCAUCAUGGGAAAGCUACCCAGAAAUCGACAGCAAGAAUCUGGGGAGGAAAGGAUCGGAGAACAGGGGACAUCCACCUAUUCCCAGCCCCGGCAGAUUCACCUCUAGGUUCUGUGUGGACCACAACUCAGGUCAUCAAUAGCACAUUUCAAUCCUGACUGUGCACUGGAAUCACCCGGACAGCUUUAAGGACACAGAUGCUUCACCUCUGAACUAUGAAAUCAGAAUCUCUUGGGCCGAGACCUGGCUGUCGUUGCUGUUUGUAGAAUCCUGCAGGUGAUCGUGCUUUGCGGCCAGGGCUGAGAAGCACUGAUAUGCAGGUCUAGGAAAUUACCACAGCUGGAAAAGGUCACGCUUGCUGAACCGGAAAUGAAUUCUGCAGCUCGAGCCAACGCUGCUCUAUUCACCUCCUUUUACCAAGACUCUGGAUGAACUGUCAAAUAGAGCAGGGAGUGAGCGUGUUGGGUCCUACAAUGUGUUGGCUACAGGGGAUCUGGAAUGACAGUUACUGCCAUCUCAGGGGAAGGUUCCCAGCACCCAGGUAGAUCUUUAUUUUUAAUGUGAAGAGCUGAC
rnacentral:lncRNA from 1 species